AUCCAAGUGACUAUGCAAUGCAUAGCCUGUUUUCUUGUCUAAAAAACAAGGAGAGUAAGGGCUGGGCAAGACUGGUGCCAGCCGCCGCGGUAAUACCAGCAGCCCGAGUGGUGAUCGCUAUUAUUGGGCCUAAAGCGUCCGUAGCCGGUUUGGUAAAUCCUUGGGUAAAUCGAUGGGCUUAACUCAUCGACUUCUGAGGAGACUGUCAAACUUGGGACUGGGAGAGGUCGGAGGUACUUCAGGGGUAGGGGUGAAAUCCUGUAAUCCUUGAGGGACCACCAGUGGCGAAGGCGUCCGACUAGAACGGGUUCGACGGUAAGGGACGAAGCCGAGGGGCACAAACCGGAUUAGAUACCCGGGUAGUCCACGGUGUAAACGCUGCGGGCUUGGUGUUGGGGAUCCUACGAGGGUGUCCAGUGCCGGAGAGAAGUUGUUAAGCCCGCCGCCUG
rnacentral:rRNA from 1 species